GCUUAAAGGGGCCGUAGCUUGAUAAUAGGGUCCCUUGAGAAAUCCGCCGGCUUAACUGGCGGGCGUUCAGGGGAAACUUGUUUUCUAGGGACCGGGAGAGGUGAGGGGUACUGCCGGGGUAGGAGUGAAAUCCUGUAAUCCCGGUGGGACCACCUAUGGCGAAGGCAUCUCACCAGAACGGGUCCGACAGUGAGGGACGAAAGCUGGGGGAGCAAACCGGAUUAGAUACCCGGGUAGUCCCAGCUGUAAACUAUGUGCGUUAGGUGUGUCAGUGACCACGUGUCACUGAGGUGCCGAAGGGAAACCGUGAAACGCACCGCCUGGGGAGUACGGUCGCAAGGCUGAAACUUAAAGGAAUUGGCGGGGGAGCACCACAACGGGUGGAGCCUGCGGUUUAAUCGGACUCAACGCCGGGAAUCUCACCGGAUAAGACAGCUGAAUGAUAGUCGGGAUGAAGACUCUACUUGACUAGCUGAGAGGAGGUGCAUGGCCGUCGUCAGUUCGUACUGUGAAGCAUCCUGUUUAGUCAGGCAACGAGCGAGACCCACGCGAGCAGUUGCCAGCUUGACCUUCGGGUUGAUGGGGACACUGCUCGGACCGCCUCUGCUAAAGGGGAGGAAGGACUGGGCAACGGUAGGUCAGCAUGCCCCGAAUUAUCCGGGCUACACGCGGGCUACAAUGGACAGGACAAUGAGUUUCGACACCGAGAGGUGAGGAUAAUCUUCUAACCCUGUCCCAAGUUCGGAUUGCGGGUUGUAACUCACCCGCAUGAAGCUGGAAUCCGUAGUAAUCGCGUUUCAACAUACCGCGGUGAAUAUGUCCCUGCUCCUUGCACACACCGCCCGU
rnacentral:rRNA from 1 species